rnacentral:rRNA from 1 species
AGUGAACGCUGGCGGUAGGCCUAACACAUGCAAGUCGAACGGCAGCACAGUAAGAGCUUGCUCUUACGGGUGGCGAGUGGCGGACGGGUGAGGAAUACAUCGGAAUCUACUUUUUCGUGGGGGAUAACGUAGGGAAACUUACGCGAAUACCGCAUACGACCUACGGGUGAAAGCAGGGGAUCUUCGGACCUUGCGCGAUUGAAUGAGCCGAUGUCGGAUUAGCUAGUUGGCGGGGCAAAGGCCCACCAAGGCGACGAUCCGUAGCUGGUCUGAGAGGAUGAUCAGCCACACUGGAACUGAGCCACGGUCCAGACUCCUACGGUAGGCAGCAGUGGGGAAUAUUGGACAAUGGGCGCAAGCCUGAUCCAGCCCUACCGCGUGGGUGAAGAAGGCCUUCCGGUUGUAAAGCCCUUUUGUUGGUAAAGAAAAGCAGCAUGUUAAUCCCCCGCUGUUCUGACGGUACCCAAAGAAUAAGCACCGGCUAACUUCGUG